GGAAAAUCGACUGUGAUCAGUCUAAUAGUGAGGUUCUAUGAUCCACAGGCUGGUGAAGUUCUGAUUGAUGGUAUAAAUAUCAAAGAAUUUCAGCUUCGGUGGAUCAGGGGAAAAAUUGGCCUUGUUAGCCAAGAACCUGUGCUGUUUGGUUCGACGAUAAAGGAUAAUAUUGCCUACGGGAAGGAUGAUGCAACACUUGAAGAAAUUAAAGAUGCAGUUCGACUUGCCAAUGCAUCCAAAUUCAUUGAUAAAUUACCUCAG
rnacentral:misc_RNA from 1 species